rnacentral:rRNA from 1 species
UACGUAGGGGGCAAGCGUUGUCCGGAAUCAUUGGGCGUAAAGAGCGUGUAGGCGGUCCGGUAAGUCGGCUGUGAAAGUCCAGGGCUCAACCCUGGGAUGCCGGUCGAUACUGCCGGACUAGAGUUCGGAAGAGGCGAGUGGAAUUCCCGGUGUAGCGGUGAAAUGCGCAGAUAUCAGGAGGAACACCGAUGGCGAAGGCAGCUCGCUGGGACGUGACUGACGCUGAGACGCGAAAGCGUGGGGAGCAAACGGG